rnacentral:lncRNA from 10 species
UUGGAGGAUUCACUUCAGGAUGACUCACUCACAUCUGGAGCAAGAAGACAACUUAAUUAAGAGACAGCAUUUAAUGACAAGGAAAGAAAAUGUUCCUUAUCUUGUAAAUUCCUUCGCUAAUGGAAUCUUCCAGCCCACCCUGGGAAGAAGAGUUGUGGACAUAGACACAUACAGAGAGAAGACCAUGUGAAGUCACAGGGAGAAGACAGCCACCUACAUACCAAGGAGAGAGGCUGUACAAGAAACCAACCCUGAUGACACCUUGAUCUUGGACUUCCAGCUUCCAGAUUUACAGGAAAAUAAAUUUCCGUUGUUUAAGCCACA